UAGCUUCAGUGCUUUCUUCACAGAAGUAUUAUGCAUGCUAAACAUUGGGCAACACCACCAGUCUUUAUUCAAGAGUAUGGCAAAAAUGUGUACUUUGUAGUAUUCCUGAUUUUUAAAAGAAGUCAUCGGAGGUUACUUCAGAACCAUCUUUGAAUUCCUAAACUGUACGAUUGACACUACAUUUGUCUUAAUAAUGGGGAACUGCAACAACCUAAUAAAGACAAGACCACCAAGUACUUAGCUCUUGCCAGAAUGAAAUGCUGUGUCACCCAACAG
rnacentral:lncRNA from 10 species